rnacentral:rRNA from 1 species
AUUGAACGCUGGCGGCAUGCCUUACACAUGCAAGUCGAACGGCAGCACGGGGCAACCUGGUGGCGAGUGGCGAACGGGUGAGUAAUGCAUCGGAACGUACCUUUCAGUGGGGGAUAACGUAGCGAAAGUUACGCUAAUACCGCAUAUUCUGUGAGCAGGAAAGCAGGGGAUCGCAAGACCUUGCGCUGAUUGAGCGGCCGAUGUCAGAUUAGCUAGUUGGUGAGGUAAAGGCUCACCAAGGCGACGAUCUGUAGCGGGUCUGAGAGGAUGAUCCGCCACACUGGAACUGGGACACGGUCCAGACGCCUACGGGAGGCAGCAGUGGGGAAUUUUGGACAAUGGGGGCAACCCUGAUCCAGCCAUGCCGCGUGAGUGAAGAAGGCCUUCGGGUUGUAAAGCUCUUUCGGCCGGGAAGAAAUCGCACGGGCUAAUACCCUGCGUGGAUGACGGUACCGGAAUAAGAAGCACCGGCUAACUACGUGCCAGCAGCCGCAGUAA